rnacentral:rRNA from 1 species
GACGAACGCUGGCGGCGUGCUUAACACAUGCAAGUCGAACGGACAGGCCCUGCUUGCUGGUUCUUCGAGUGGCGAACGGGUGAGUAACAGGUGGGUGAUCUGCCCUGCACUUCGGGAUGAGCCUGGGAAUCUGGGUCUAAUACCGGAUAGGAGCCCUCUUUAGUGUGAUGGUUGGAAAGUUUUUUCGGUGUAGGAUAAGCUCUCGGCCUAUCAGCUUGUUGGUGGGGGAAUGGCCUACCAAGGCGGCGACGGGUAGGCGACAUGAGGGGGUGGACGGCCACAAGACGACUGAGGGAGGGAGCAGUCGCGUACGGGAGGCAAUGGAGGGAAGUCUUGCAGAGCAGCGGCGAGUGAGAGGCGACGGCGCUGCGGGGGGGAUGACGGGUUUCGGGUGAAAAACGGGUUUCGCUAGGGAAGAAGCAUUUUGUGACGGUACCUAGAUAGAAAGCAACGGCUAACUACGUG